GACGAACGCUGGCGGCGUGCUUAACACAUGCAAGUCGAACGGAAAGGCCCUGCUUUUGUGGGGUGCUCGAGUGGCGAACGGGUGAGUAACACGUGAGUAACCUGCCCUUGACUUUGGGAUAACUUCAGGAAACUGGGGCUAAUACCGGAUAGGAGCUCCUGCUGCAUGGUGGGGGUUGGAAAGUUUCGGCGGUUGGGGAUGGACUCGCGGCUUAUCAGCUUGUUGGUGGGGUAGUGGCUUACCAAGGCUUUGACGGGUAGCCGGCCUGGGAGGGUGACCAGCCACAAUGGGCCUGAGAGAGGCACCAGACUCCUACGGGAGGCAGCAGUGGGAAGUAUGGCACAAUGGGCGGAAGCCUGAUACAGCAACGCCGGGUGCGGGAAGACGGCCUUCUAGUUGUAAACCGCUUUCGCCGGUGACGAGGCGGGAGUGACGGUAAUGGGUAAAAAAGCCCCGGCUAACUACGUG
rnacentral:rRNA from 1 species